UCAAAAGAUUAAUACAACUGAGUAACUUUCGAGGCACCCUCUUAGACACUGGCUCAGUUUCUUCUCUUUCAGCAAGCUGAGCUGCAGUGACUGCCAACAGGGAGAGAAAGAAGGUGAUUGCAUGAGAUGCCAAUAGAAUCAAUAAAUACAGAGCGAAUUUGAAGAGCAAGGUACUGUGGCAGCCAUUUUGAAACAAAGAUGAUUCAUUCGAAAGAUGGAGUCUCAUUGUGUUGCCAGGCUGGAGUGCAGUGGUGCGAUCUCAGCUUACUGCAGCCUCCACCUCCCGGGUUCAAGCGAUUCUCCUGCGUCAGCCUCCCGAGUAGCUGGGACUACAGGCACACACCACCACCCCCAGCUAAUUUUUGUAUUUUUAGUAGAGAUGGGGUUUCACCAUGUUGGCCAGGAUGGUCUCGAUCUCUUGACCUCAUGAUCCACCUGCCUUGGCCUCCCGAAGUGCUGGGAUUACAGCACCACCGCACCCAGCCUAUGAAUUGACGCCAUCAAGCUACAGAUGGUCUUACAAACGGAACUCCAAAUGAGUUCAACUAACAACUUCUACCGAGGACUCCUGGACCGACCCACUGGCCCUUUCACUGGCCAACAGAGCUCCCCUCUGGAGGACGCUACAACUGCAGGGCCCCUUCUUCACCCCUAUCCAGCAGGAAGUAGCUAGAGCAGUCAUCAGCCAAAUUCCCAACAGCGGUUGGGGUGUCCUGUUUAGAGGGGAAAUUCAGAGGUGACAACAUGCCAGCAGUCCUCGCUAGCUCUCGAUGCUUCCUCAGCCAUAGCAUCCGCUCUGGCCAUGCUUGAGGAGUCCUUCAGCCUGCCGCUGCACUGUGAGGCCCCUCUCUGGGGCUGGCCGAGGCCAGAGCCAGCUCCGUCUGCUCGCAGGAGCUGUAACACUCGCCAUGAAGGUCUGCAGCUUCACUCCUGAAGCCAGUGAGACCACAAACCCACCAGAAGGAAGAAACUCUGGACACAUCUGAACAUCUGAAGGAAGAAACUCCAGACACACCAUCUUUAAGAACUGUAACAUUCACCGUGAGGGUCCACAGCUUCAUUCUUUUUUUUUUUUUUUUUUUUGAGAUGGAGUCUCGCUCUCUCACCCAGGCUGGAGUGCAGUGGCGCGAUCUCGGCUCACUGCAAGCUCCGCCUCCCGGGUUCACGCCAUUCUCCUGCCUCAGCCUCUCCAAGUAGCUGGGACUACAGGCGCCCACCACCACGCCUGGCUAAUUUUUUGUAUUUUUAGUAGAGACAGGGUUUCACCGUGGUCUCGAUCUCCCGACCUCAUGAUCCGCCCGCCUCGGCCUCCCAAAGUGCUGGGAUUACAAGCGUGAGCCACCGCGCCCGGCAGCUUCAUUCUUGAAGUCAGCAAGACCAAGAACCCACCAAUUCCGGAAACUAAAAAAUCCUGCCUCAGCUUCCCAAAAUGCUAGGAUUACAGAUAUGAGUCACUGCACGUGGCUGAUAUAAACUUUUUAUUGAGAAAGAAACAAACUGUUCACACAUAGGCACUUCACAACCAAGAGAUAAGAAUGGCCCUCUUAUAAAGGUUAGAGUAAGGCUUAUAAAGAGUAAAAGAAGUUCAUAGAGCUUAACUUUCAUUGGUUAUUUUAAAGUAUCUUUUCCUUUUAGGGCAAGUAGCUUACUUAGGCUGUAGCUGAUUGGCUACAAUGUGUUGAUUCAUGCCGAAGGAGGAAAUAAAUUUCAAGAGUUCAUUAUAAUUUAAGUGAGUAUUUCAGGAAAUGGGGCUUAAUGACUUUUGCUGAGCUGGCUGUAGGCCACUGGCUCAGAGGCAAAGGUCAGCCCCAGCCCCCAUUUUGAUUUCUAUUUUACAAUAUAUAAUCGGUAUAAGUGUUAAACAACAAUGCAAUCAGGAUAAUCAACAACCGUACUUGUCCAUAGGCCAGCGUUCUGCUCCUGGUCUCCCACCUCUCCUCAUAUCUAUCUGUAAGACAUUGGUUAAGACACAAGCUGGAGGCCUGGGGGCCUUGUAAAAAUAGCAAUGGAGAGGAUGGAGGGCAUCAGGUGAGAAUUCUUCAUCCUUUCUACUUACGAAUUUUAUUCUAGCUCUAUUAGUGGGGUAAAAGUAUAUUACAGCAGAUGACUACCAUUUCAAAUGUGGGCCCUGGCAAGCCCUGUCCUGAUCUGUGAAGACCAAGGCCAGCUACUCCAACCCUGCAAGUCAGGCUAACAAGAUCAGACUAAUCUCAUCCUCUGCUGAAAGUAAGAACACAGGCUUCAGAGUGAAAGGUAUGCAGCCAGGCUUUCAACUCCAGCUUGAAGACAUUUGGCAAAUCACUGAGGUGUUGCACUUUCCUGCCCUGGAAGAUGGUGCGACAAUCUAUCUAACUCAAAGGGCUGUUGAAAGGACUGAAUGAGAGAACAAGUUAAGUAAGCACUCAGCACAGUGCCUGGUACAAGAUAAUUGCUUAAUAAAUGUUGAAGUUCAAAUUAUGAUUUAAAUGGAUUGUAAGAUUGAGGCAAGGACUGUGUCUAAUAUCUUGUUCACAUGUUUCUUGUACUGAUAGCCCACCCUCUUGCCUACCUAGCACAGUGGGUCAGAUGUCAAUUAAGAAUGAAGGAAUACCAGGCCAUGCGCAGUGGCUCAUGCCAAUAAUCCCAGCACUUUGGGAGGCUGAGGUAGGUGGAUCACUUGCACUUAGGAGUUCAAGGUCAGCCUGGGCAACAUGGUGAAACUCCAUCUCUACAAAAAAUACAAAAAUUAGUCGGGCAUGGUGGCAGGCACCUGUAAUCCCAGCUACUCGAGAGGCUGAGGUGGGAGGAUUGCUUAAGCCCAGGAGGCCAAGGCUGCAGUGAUCUGCAAUCGCACCACUGCACUCCAGCCUGGGUGACAGAGUGAGACCAUGUCGCAAAAAAAAGAAUGAAUGAAUGCCAUCUACACACAUUAGGAUGGCUAUAAUCCAAAAGAAAAGGAAGAGAAGAGAAGGGAAGGAAGGGAAGGGGAGGGGAAGGGAAGGGGAGGGAAGAGGAGGGAAGGGAAGGGAAGGGAAGGGAAGGGAAGGGAAGGGAAGGGAAGGGAAGGACAAGUGUUCAGACAUCUGGAAGAAAUUGGAACCUUGUGUUGAUGCGAAUGCAAAAUGGUGCAGCUGCUAUAGAAAACAGUAUGGAAGUUCCCACAAAGUUAAAAAUAGAACUACCAUAUGAUCCCACAAUUCCACUUCUGGGUAUAUACCAAAAAAAGAAUUGCAAGGAGGAGCCGGAUGUGGUAGCUCACAACUGUAAUCCCAGCACUUUGGGAGGCUGAGGCAGGCAGAUCACUUUAGGUCGGGUCACCAGCCUGGCCAACGUGGCAAAACUCCUCCGUACUAAAAAUACAAAAAAAAAUUAGCCAAGUGUGGCUGUGCAUGCGUGCAGUCCCAGCUACUCUGGGGGCUGAGGUGGGAGGAUAACUUGAACCUGGUUGGAUAACUCCAACCGGGAGAUGGAGGUUGCAGUGAGCCAAGAUCGUGCCACUGCACUACAGCCUGGGAGACAGAGUGAGACCCUGUCUCAAAACAUAAAAUAAAAUAAAACAAGAAUUGAAAGGAGGGGGUUGAACAGAUAUUUGUACACCCUUGUUCAUAGCAGCAUUAUUCCCAGUAGCCAAAAGGUGGAAGCAAUCUGAAUAUUCACUGAUGGAUGAAUAAACUGUGGUAUAUACAUAUAAUGGAGUAUUACCCUUAAAAAGGAAGGAAAUUCUAACACAUGCUACAACAUGGAGGAACCUGGAGGAGAUUAUGCUAAGUGAAAUAAGCCAGUCACAAAAAGACAAAUAUGCAUGAUUUCACUUAUACAAGGACCUAAAAUAGAUCAUAGAGACAGUAGAAUCAUGGUUGACAGUGUCUGGUUUGAGGAGUUAUUUAAUAGGUACAGAGUGUCAGUUCUGCAAGAUUAAAAGCGUUCUAGAGAUUGGUUGAACAACAAUGUGAACAUACUUAACCCUACUGAAGUGUACACUUAAAAUAGGUAAGAUGGUAAAUUUUGUGUUAUGUGUAUUUAUCACAAUUGAAAAUUUUUAAUAAAGAGGAAUAAAUGAAUGUGUUGACAUAUGCUAUGCCAUAAAUAAACCUUGAAAACAUUAGAUUAAGUGAAAGAAGCCAGAUGAAAAA